rnacentral:rRNA from 1 species
UGGAACCACCUGAUCCCAUCCCGAACUCAGAAGUGAAACGAUGCAUCGCCGAUGGUAGUGUGGGGUUUCCCCAUGUGAGAGUAGGUCAUCGUC